AGUGAACGCUGGCGGUAUGCCUAACACAUGCAAGUCGAACGGCAGCACAGUAAGAGCUUGCUCUUACGGGUGGCGAGUGGCGGACGGGUGAGGAAUACAUCGGAAUCUACUUUUUCGUGGGGGGUAACGUAGGGAGACUUACGCUAAUACCGCAUACGACCUACGGGUGAAAGCAGGGGAUCUUGGGACCUUGCGCGAUUGAAUGAGCCGAUGUCGGAUUAGCUAGUUGGCGGGGUAAAGGCCCACCAAGGCGACGAUCCGUAGCUGGUCUGAGAGGAUGAUCAGCCACACUGGAACUGAGACACGGUCCAGACUCCUACGGGAGGCAGCAGUGGGGAAUAUUGGACAAUGGGCGCAAGCCUGAUCCAGCCAUACCGCGUGGGUGAAGAAGGCCUUCGGGUUGUAAAGCCCUUUUGUUGGGAAAGAAAAGCAGCAGGUUAAUACCCCGCUGUUCUGACGGUACCCAAAGAAUAAGCACCGGCUAACUUCGUG
rnacentral:rRNA from 1 species